UACGAAGGGGGCUAGCGUUGUUCGGAAUUACUGGGCGUAAAGCGCGUGUAGGCGGGCCGUUAAGUCGGGGGUGAAAGCCCAGAGCUCAACUCUGGAACUGCCUUCGAUACUGGCGGCCUGGAGCAUGAUAGAGGCGAGUGGAAUUGCGAGUGUAGAGGUGAAAUUCGUAGAUAUUCGCAGGAACACCAGUGGCGAAGGAGACUCGCGGGAUCAUUGGUGACGUUGAGACGCGAAAGCGUGGGGAGCAAACAGG
rnacentral:rRNA from 1 species